UAAUUUUUUAGUCAUAAAUGAUUUU
rnacentral:tRNA from 1 species